GAUGAACGCUGGCGGCGUGCCUAAUACAUGCAAGUCGAGCGAAUGGAUUAAGAGCUUGCUCUUAUGAAGUUAGCGGCGGACGGGUGAGUAACACGUGGGUAACCUGCCCAUAAGACUGGGAUAACUCCGGGAAACCGGGGCUAAUACCGGAUAACAUUUUGAACCGCAUGGUUCGAAAUUGAAAGGCGGCUUCGGCUGUCACUUAUGGAUGGACCCGCGUCGCAUUAGCUAGUUGGUGAGGUAACGGCUCACCAAGGCAACGAUGCGUAGCCGACCUGAGAGGGUGAGCGGCCACGCUGGGACUGAGACACGGCCCAGACUCCGACGGGAGGCAGCAGUAGGGAAUCUUCCGCAAUGGACGAAAGUCUGACGGAGCAACGCCGCGUGAGUGAUGAAGGCUUUCGGGUCGUAAAACUCUGUUGUUAGGGAAGAACAAGUGCUAGUUGAAUAAGCUGGCGCCUUGACGGUACCUAACCAGAAAGCCACGGCUAACUACGUGCCAGCCGCCGCCGUAA
rnacentral:rRNA from 1 species